rnacentral:rRNA from 1 species
UACGGGGGGGGGCAAGCGUUGUUCGGAAUUACUGGGCGUAAAGGGCGCGUAGGCGGCCUGCUAAGUCGGACGUGAAAUCCCUCGGCUCAACCGGGGAACUGCGUCCGAUACUGGUGGGCUCGAAUCCGGGAGAGGGAUGUGGAAUUCCAGGUGUGAGCGGUUGAAAUGCGUAGAUAUCAGGAGGAACACCGGUGGCGAAGGCGGGUCUCUGGGCAGUAACUGACGCUGAGGAGCGAAAGCGUGGGGAGCGAACAGG